UUUGAAGCCUAAUUUCAUCGGAAUCCAUCGAUUGAGAGAUGGAAAUAUUUGACUUAGAGAAACAAUUUGCAUUCUAUGGAGCUUACCAUAGCAACCCAGUGAAUGUAUUGAUUCACAUGGUGUUUGUGUGGCCUAUCGUGUUCACUGCUCUUAUUCUUUUCGAAUUUACGCCCUCACUUUUCAAUUUACCUCCGAUUCAGCUUUGUGAGCACAGUUCAUUGGUCCUUAAUUAUGGGUUUUUGCUUACUUUGGGGUAUGCACUGUUCUACGUGUGUUUGGACAAGAAAGCUGGCUCAUUGGCUGCUUUGCUAUGUUUCAUUUGUUGGGUUUCCAGUGGUAUGGUUGCUCGUCAAUUGGGGUUCUCUCUCGCCUGGAAGGUUGUUCUAGCGGCUCAAUUGUUCUGCUGGACUGGACAGUUUAUAGGUCAUGGAGUGUUUGAGAAGCGAGCACCUGCCCUUCUGGACAAUCUUGCACAAGCUUUCCUUAUGGCACCGUUCUUUGUUCUCCUUGAGGCCCUCCAAUCUCUUUUUGGCUAUGAACCAUACCCUGGGUUUCAUUCAAAAGUGAAAGCAACAAUUGAUGCUGAAAUCAAAGAAUGGCAGGAGAAGAAACAGAAAAAGAUAUCUUAAAUUUGAUAAGCAAGGUUAUUACCUAUUCUAAUUGUAUCAGUUAAAUGAUCGAAGUUUGUUCGAAUCUGAA
rnacentral:misc_RNA from 1 species